GACGAACGCUGGCGGCGUGCCUAAUACAUGCAAGUAGAACGCUGAAGGAGGAGCUUGCUUCUCUGGAUGAGUUGCGAACGGGUGAGUAACGCGUAGGUAACCUGCCUGGUAGCGGGGGAUAACUAUUGGAAACGAUAGCUAAUACCGCAUAAGAGUAGAUGUUGCAUGACAUUUGCUUAAAAGGUGCAAUUGCAUCACUACCAGAUGGACCUGCGUUGUAUUAGCUAGUUGGUGGGGUAACGGCUCACCAAGGCGACGAUACAUAGCCGACCUGAGAGGGUGAUCGGCCACACUGGGACUGAGACACGGCCCAGACUCCUACGGGAGGCAGCAGUAGGGAAUCUUCGGUAAUGGACGGAAGUCUGACCGAGCAACGCCGCGUGAGUGAAGAAGGUUUUCGGAUCGUAAAGCUCUGUUGUAAGAGAAGAACGAGUGUGAGAGUGGAAAGUUCACACUGUGACGGUAUCUUACCAGAAAGGGACGGCUAACUACGUG
rnacentral:rRNA from 1 species